rnacentral:tRNA from 1 species
GGAGAGGUGCUCGAGUGGUUGAAGAGGCACGCCUGGAAAGCGUGUAAGCGUGAAAACGUUUCGAGAGUUCGAAUCUCUUCCUCUCCG